rnacentral:rRNA from 1 species
CACGCCGUAAACGAUGAGUGCUAGGUGUAGGGGGUAUAGACUCCCUCUGUGCCGCAGUUAACGCAUUAAGUAAUCCACCUGGGGAGUACGGCCGCAAGGUUAAAACUCAAAGGAAUUGACGGGGGCCCGCACAAGCAGUGGAGUAUGUGGUUUAAUUCGAAGCAACGCGAAGAACCUUACCAGGGCUUGACAUCCUCGGACGACACUAGAGAUAGUGUUUUCUCUUCGGAGACUGAGAGACAGGUGG